ACCUGGCUCGCUCAGUUGGUAGAGCACAAGACUCUUAAUCUUGGGAUCAUGGGUUCGAACCCUAUAUUGGGUG